ACGGGAGGCAGCAGUGGGGAAUAUUGGGCAAUGGGCGAAAGCCUGACCCAGCGACGCCGCGUGAGGGAAGAAGGUCUUCGGAUUGUAAACCUUAGUCAACAGGGAAGAAGCAAGUGACGGUACCUGUGGAGGAAGCCACGGCUAACUACGUGCCAGCAGCCGCGGUAAUACGUAGGUGGCGAGCGUUAUCCGGAUUUACUGGGUGUAAAGGGUGCGUAGGCGGGCUGUUAAGUCAGCGGUGAAACCCCCGGGCUCAACCCGGGGACUGCCAUUGAAACUGGCGGCCUUGAGUACGUUGGGAGUGCGCGGAAUGUGUGGUGUAGCGGUGAAAUGCAUAGAUAUCACACAGAACACCGAUCGCGUAGGCAGCGCACUACGCCGCGACUGACGCUGAGGCACGAAGGCGCGGGGAUCGAACAGGAUUAGAUACCCUGGUA
rnacentral:rRNA from 1 species